GGUCUUAUGAUUAUUAAUGUAAGAUCUGACCUGCUCUAUGUAUAAUAAAUGGCCGCGGUAUAUUGACCGUGCGAAGGUAGCAUAAUAAUUAGGCUAUUAAUUGUGGUCUUGGAUGAAAGGUUAGACGAGGGAAAUACUUUCUUAUAUGCAUUGUUGAAUUUAAAUAAUUAGUAAAAAUGCUAAUAUAAUAUAAAAAGACGAGAAGACCCUAUUGAGUUUUAUAUUUAUUUUAUUUAUUAUAUUUGAUUGGGGCGAUAAUUAAUAAACAAUUUAUGUUAUUGAUCCACUAUUAGUGAUUAUUAGAAUAAAUUACCAUAGGGAUAACAGCAUAAUUUGAUUGGAGAGUUCUUAUUGAUAUUCAAGUUUGUGACCUCGAUGUUGGAUUAAGAUUCCUUUUAGGUGCAGAUGCUUAAAUAGGUAGACUGUUCGUCUAUUAAAUUCUUACG
rnacentral:rRNA from 1 species